rnacentral:lncRNA from 1 species
GUGGGAAUUACUUCGAAUACCAGGCUUUUGCCAUUGGAUCACGGUCACAAGCUGCAAAGACAUACUUGGAACGGAGGUUUGAGAACUUUACAGACUCCUCGAGGGAUGAUCUGGUGAAAGAUGCUAUUACGGCAAUAAGGGAGACCCUGCAAGGAGAAACUCUGAAAAGCUCAAUAUGUACAAUUGCUGUGGUAGGGGUUGGAGAACCGUUCCAUGUAUUAGAUCAGGGAACUGUACAACAAAUCAUCGAUACCUUCGAGAUUGCAGCGGAGCAAGAAGACCCUGCUACCGAACCUGAUGCUGCUACAGGUCAGGAGGCUGCCACUGAGCAGGGCACUGCUGCUGAUCAAGGUGGUUCUACAGAUGAAGGUGCGGCCCCAAUGGAUAUUUGAGGAUGCAAG